AAUACAUUUGUACAUGGCCCCCCAUUGUAUUAUGUGGAUUUCUUUAUUUAUUCUAUCUCAGUAAUUCUUUUACGAAUGGUUUUCAGGCACCCCAUUGUACAUGGCCCUAGAGCUUGUGCGAGAACAGCCCUACAACCACACUGUUGACCUGUGGUCUCUUGGAGUCAUAUUGUACGAAUUAUUCGUUGGGCAACCUCCCUUUCAUACGAAUUCAGUACCUGCACUCAUCCAGCACAUAGUUAAGGUAUGAAUUAUUCUUGAACAUCCAUUUGUUAAAGAAACAUUGGAUGAAGUAGAGGCCAGGGUAAUGCAUCUGAUGUCUGCAAACUUUUUUUUUCCUUUUGUUAAACGAAUUAGACUCUUUGUUUACUUACUCUAAAGCAGCAGGAGUGCAUGCUGCUUGCAAGGCCAAUUGUGUUUUUACCUUGUAUAUAAGAGUUCAUUUUUGAAUAGUGAAACAUUCUAGGAGGUGCGUGCUACAACUGCUACAGCCAGGCAAUCUGAUUUUGCAUUGAGGAGUGAUGAAAACAGUAUCCAGACACCAAAUGGUAUAUCAUCCCUUUUGACAGCAUUGCAUUCGAUUCUUAUUUGUGAUAUAUUGGUUCUACCUUUUUUAACCAUCAUUUACUACUAUGUCACAGGUAAAGAAAAUUCUCCUGCUGCUUCAGAGCCUUGUACUGUUCCAAGCCCUCAGAGUGAUGCUAAAAAAUAUAGUCCUAAUACAGUCCAGGGAAAUUCUGCACUGCAUGACGAGUUUCCUGGAUUUUCAAAUCCCAAUGAUGUUAAACAGACAGGUAACUUGGCAUUAGACGGAUUAUAAAACAACUCUCGCACAGUUAAUGGGGCACAAAUUAUUGGUCAGGAAUAUGAAGCCUUGGCACUUAUUUUCCUUCCAACCAAAAAAUGGU